rnacentral:rRNA from 1 species
UACGUAGGUGGCAAGCGUUGUCCGGAAUUAUUGGGCGUAAAGCGCGCGCAGGCGGUCCUUUAAGUCUGAUGUGAAAGCCCACGGCUCAACCGUGGAGGGUCAUUGGAAACUGGGGGACUUGAGUGCAGAAGAGGAGAGUGGAAUUCCACGUGUAGCGGUGAAAUGCGCAGAUAUCAGGAGGAACACCGAUUGCGAAGGCAGCUCGCUGGGACGUAACUGACGCUGAGACGCGAAAGCGUGGGGAGCAAACAGG